rnacentral:rRNA from 1 species
CCUACGGGAGGCAGCAGUGAGGAAUAUUGGUCAAUGGACGAGAGUCUGAACCAGCCAAGUAGCGUGAAGGAUGACUGCCCUAUGGGUUGUAAACUUCUUUUAUAUGGGAAUAAAAUGUUCCACGUGUGGGAUUCUGUAUGUACCAUAUGAAUAAGGAUCGGCUAACUCCGUGCCAGCAGCCGCGGUAAUACGGAGGAUCCGAGCGUUAUCCGGAUUUAUUGGGUUUAAAGGGUGCGUAGGUGGAUUGUUAAGUCAGUUGUGAAAGUUUGCGGCUCAACCGUAGAAUUGCAGUUGAUACUGGCAGUCUUGAGUACAGUAGAGGUAGGCGGAAUUCGUGGUGUAGCGGUGAAAUGCUUAGAUAUCACGAAGAACUCCGAUUGCGAAGGCAGCUCACUGGACUACAACUGACGCUGAGGCUCGAAAGUGUGGGUAUCAAACAGGAUUAGAUACCCGGGUAGUC